UACGUAGGAUGCAAGCGUUGUCCGGAUUUAUUGGGCGUAAAGAGUUCGUAGGUGGUUUGUUAAGUCUGAUGUUAAAGAUCGAGGCUCAACCUCGGGAGUGCAUUGGAUACUGGCAGACUUGAGUGCAGUAGGGGCAAGUGGAAUUUCCAGUGUAGCGGUGAAAUGCGUAGAUAUUGGAAAGAACACCAGUGGCGUAAGCGACUUGCUAGGCUGUAACUGACACUGAGGAACGAAAGCCAGGGGAGCGAAUGGG
rnacentral:rRNA from 1 species